ensembl:snoRNA SNORD114-23 small nucleolar RNA, C/D box 114-23
UGGAUUGAUGAUGACCACUGGUGGCGUACAGGUCGUAGACAAUGGUAUGUGUCUGGAGCUCUGAGGUCCGU